UAGUGAGUUUGAUCCUGGCUCAGGAGUGAACGCUGGCGGUCUGCUUAACACAUGCAAGUCGAACGCAAGUAGAAAGUACUUGAGUGGCGGACGGGUGAGUAACGCGUGAGAAUCUGCCUUCUGGUCGGGGACAACCACUGGAAACGGUGGCUAAUACCGGAUAUGCCUAUGGGUGAAAGAUUAAUUGCCAGAAGAAGAGCUCGCGUCUGAUUAGCUAGUUGGAGAGGUAAAGGCUCACCAAGGCAUCGAUCAGUAGCUGGUCUGAGAGGG
rnacentral:rRNA from 1 species